CCUUUGCUAUCAGUGGGAAUGGGAACCAAAGCAACAAAAAGGUUAAUUUUAAAUUUGCAUGUUAGUAUGGUCCCUGCACAAGGGUGACAUGCAAAAUCAUGAAGCAUUCCAUAUUUUU
rnacentral:snRNA from 1 species